rnacentral:rRNA from 1 species
UACGUAGGGGGCAAGCGUUGUCCGGACUGACUGGGCGUAAAGCGCGCGCAGGCGGUCAGAGGCGUCGGUGCUCAAAGUCCACCGCUUAACGGUGGGAGGCGGGCCGAUACGCUCUGACUGGAGGGCGGGCGAGGGUGGUGGAAUUGCCGGUGUAGUGGUGAAAUGCGUAGAGAUCGGCAGGAACACCAGUGGCGAAGGCGGCCACCUGGGCCGCAACUGACGCUGAGGCGCGACAGCGUGGGGAGCGAACUGG